UGAACAUAGGAGAUGUGCAGAGGAGGUGUGCAGAGGAGGUGAACAUAGGAGAUGUGCAGAGGAGGUGUGCAGAGGAGAUGAACAUAGGAGAUGUGCAGAGGAGAUGUGCAGAGGAGAUGAACAUAGGAGAUGUGCAGAGGAGGUGUGCAGA